UACGGAGGGGGCUAGCGUUGUUCGGAAUUACUGGGCGUAAAGCGCACGUAGGCGGCUUUGUAAGUUAGAGGUGAAAGCCUGGAGCUCAACUCCAGAAUUGCCUUUAAGACUGCAUCGCUUGAAUCGCGGAGAGGUGAGUGGAAUUCCGAGUGUAGAGGUGAAAUUCGUAGAUAUUCGGAAGAACACCAGUGGCGAAGGCGGCUCACUGGACGCGUAUUGACGCUGAGGUGCGAAAGCGUGGGGAGCGAACAGG
rnacentral:rRNA from 1 species